CCAUAAGAAUUAGAUCAGUUGCUCGAAGCUGGGCAUGCCCCCUACUGCUACAAUUCAGUUCUUCCCGGAUAUGGAAUCUAGCGUCGACGACAACUGUGUUGGAGAUGGUCGUGGUGGUGCCGGCUUAGGCUUUCCUGAGACUCACAGGCUUGGUCUAAAGUUUUGUCAGUCGGAUGGAACGACCGGAUCGACCGGAUCAUCGGGGGUAAAGUCGCUGCUGUGGUGAAGCGAAUGAAUAAUUUCCGGUGUUGACCACGUUCAAGGAGUUCUCAGUAUAGCGAGAUAAGGAGUGACCAGUUUUUCUGCUCUUGAUAAAUAUGAGAAUGGUAGUGCAUUUAGGUAGCUUGGCUAGCCGACAAAUGGGAAGCUUAAUUUCAACGGACGGUCAAUGAUGCAAGCACAAGCUCUUGCUUCAGUUGGCUGGGUCAAGAAUUCAAGAUUGGAAAUUUUUCCAAGCGUAAGUUAUCAAUGUUUUUGGCAAGUAUGAUAUUGUAAGUGGGUUGAUCUUGAAUUAAGUGCACUGAACCUGGCACUAUAAUUUUGUUGGGAGGAUUCACAGCCCUAGUGGAAACCUUCUAAAAAGAGUUUGGCUAGCGACACACUGCUGGGUGUUUUUUAGAGGGUGAGGAUCUCUGAAAAUAUUAUCUAGGUAUGGUUUAUUGUUUAUUGAUUCUCUGAAAUAUCCUAUUUCAUCACUGUUUCAAUUGCAAGUGUAUAUGAAUGUUAGAAGACUUCCUACA